rfam:Mustela putorius furo unplaced genomic scaffold scaffold00038, whole genome shotgun sequence.
UGUGGGGCUUCCUGUGCGUAUGCUCCCAUGUGCCUGGGGUCACUCUCCUACGACACCGUGGCUUUUGUCAGCAUCUGGACAACUGGGAC